AUGUUACUCAGAGCAGGUGUGAGUUCUGUAAUUGAUGACUUAUCUCUUCAUGGCAAAUAGAGGAGUUUGUGAUCGGGUAAGCAGGUUCAUAGAUUCACUUGAUCAAAGCAUCAGAAUCUGAUUAUGCCUCCUAUAAAGAGACCCUUUGAAGUGGAUCAGCACUCAGUUCCCAGUUAAGGAGCUAUGAGACCAUGUGUGGAAUUCCUUUGGAGCAUGAUGGAUUUCAUUCUGGAGCAUCAGGAAGCCUUCUAUGUCUCUAAAUGGAUGGAAGAAUCUCGCCUGUGAAGACAGUACAAAGAGGAGCUAAAGGAGCUAAAAUUCAUUUUUUCUUUUCUCUUUGACUCCACAACACUUUUGCUAUGAGUACUUUCUUCUCAGUGAGUAAAUCAUAUACUAGAAGGACUCUUUUCUUUAAAAAAGAGUCUGCUAGUUGUAAGAUCUGACAAACUUUGCAGUGGUAAAAGCUACCAUGAAGGCUGAAUGAGUGAAACUAAGUCAGAUUAAGAAGAUGGAAAAGUCAGCCUUUGAAAACAACUAUGAAGGUAACAGAUUCUUUGUGUGGCAUGUGGAAUAUUUGAAGGGAAAAGAAGGUCAGCAAUUCUUUAUUCUCUUUUUUGUUUAUUUGUUUUUGUUUUCUCUUUGGAUUGUCUUGCAUGAGUUUCAUGGCCAAAAUGAUGCGCCAGUUCCUGUCUCCUUAGUGAACAAAGAGAAAUACAACGUGACAGGAUCCAGCAGGGAGCAUCCAGUUAGGAGUCUGCCCCUAAUAUUUCCUUUCCUGUCUUUCUUUAUAGUGUCUCCAUCAGACAGAAAAGGGAAAGAUGUGAAGUUAUGAUAACAUUUAUAAAGAACUUCUCUUUCACGUUCUUUGUUAUCACUAGACAUCAAGUAACGUGUGACAACAGUACUUCCUGAAGUGGUAUAUGUGGUACAUUUUUGUUGUUAACUCAAGGUAUGUGGGGUGUCUCUUUAGAUCCCAUGCCACUCUACUCAUGGACAUUCAGCAGCCUUCAGUAACUAUCCUUGGCCAAGGACAAGAUUGUCUCAAGAUUGUUUUAUGAACUGACAAAUACUAUGGAGUACAUGUUUCUAGCCAGAAGAUAGAAUGAUAAAAAUGGAAGUAGCUUAGGAAAAAUGAAAAAUAGCCAGCCUUUGAGAGUUUUAAAGGGAGCACUCACCUUAGGACCAUCUGGAAUUUUUGAAAGAGUUCUUUAAACAUCUCACUGUGAAGAAAGGACUUUUUUGUGAAAAGGAAGGCAGGCCCACAAAAGUGUAGUGAGGAUUUAAUAUCUUUUUCUUUCUUCUCUCUUCAGUUGGUGUCACUUGUGUCUCCUCCUUGCUCUUUAGGCUUCUCCACGUUUGCCCACCUGCAGUCCCUUUGACGUACUUUCUGGGAUACGAAACACUUCUGUUUGCUUUUGAUUGGAAAUUUUCAAGAGGAGACAGACUUCUGCUUUGUCCGGGUUUUUGUACAUUAGUUUUGUCUCUUUUAUGUGACCUAUGAGGCUAGUGAAAACUAAUUAAAACUUCCAUAACCUUCUGUAGCUUCUUAAUCUUCUGAGUAUGCAUAUUUACACAAACAUUUUGUGUUAAAGUAUUUCUGAAAUUGUGAGAUUAGGAUAUCUAUGUGUGAAAUUAAUUGGAUGUUUCUGUACAUUCCCUGGCUCUGCUCUGUACUCAUCUCACCUGUCCUACCUUUUUGAUCUCCUGGAGCCAUAUUUCUAGCUAUCUCAAAGCAUGGUACAUAAACCACUUUAUGUGAAUGGUUUGAGGAUUCAUUUUCCCACUUGGAAUAUGGUUACAGCCCAUUUUUUCCAUACUGUAAGGUUGAUACAUCUAUAUUUUUCAGGAGAAAAGGUAAUGAUUUUACUGCUCUCUAGACAACGAUCUGCUGUUAUGACUGAUUAUCUCGCUUGCUAGCUCCAUAGUCUGUAUUUUAAAAUUCCCAGUACUGUGUAAGAAAUGAUUGUUCUCAAUUCUGUUUUUUCAUAGUCUUUUUUUAUUG
ensembl:lncRNA